rnacentral:Y_RNA from 1 species
GGCUGGUCCGAUGGUAGUGGGUUAUCAGAACUUAUUAACAUUAAUGUCACUAAAGUUGGUAUUCAACCCCCCACUGCUAAAUUUGACUGGUUUAAA